rnacentral:lncRNA from 7 species
AUUUUCAUUAGGGAUAUGAUUGAUAUUUGGGAAUUUGGAAAUUUGAUUCUGAAAUGAACUGGAAAUUUGGAUAGGAAAAUAAAGCAAAAAAUAAAUAAUAAAAAGAAAGAAAACAGAAAACCGCAUUCUAGGCCAAAUCUCCCUCAGCCCACCAUUCCCUUCGCGCGCACUGGCGACCCUGGUCCGCCCGCGCCGUUUCCCCCCUCUGCUGUCGAACCGAGCCCCAUCUGGCAGCCUCAGUGACCAUUCUCCCCGUUGCGCGCAUUGCCUCUGUCGAUGGCACGUGGGCCCUCAUCGUCAGGUACCUCGUCUCCGCUGAGUUGGUUCGGCUGUGAACAGAACACCGAGCUGGAUCUGCGCGAAGCUUAACAACCCCCCUCCGGUGAUCUUGGUGACUAUUGCAACCGUCUCAUCCGCCUGCUACGCAACCAUGCGGGCUCCUAGAGCCAUAAAAGCCGAGCUCCCAGCUAUCCGCAGAACGGACAGGGCAAGCAGUAGUAGACAUCCAGGCCGUUACGCCCACGCUUUGCCUCCUUUGCUGUGUAGUGUCCGCGGUGUGGUUGGGGAGAUUGCCUAGAUACAAGGAUUGUGUCCAGGGCAGAUUAAAGCUAGACGAGCAACCAAAUACCAGUGAAUUUCUUACCAGAAUUUACCAUUGCCGUUAAGCCACCGUCCGUGGUCGAUAGGGCUCGGCGCAACACAAUUCAAGGUGUGUGAUACCUCCAUCAUGUUUGUAUCAGCCUCCUCUCCCUAAUUCUUAUAUCAAUUUGCCGAUUUGGGCACUUUGGCACCCGAUUUCUUGCCACCGGUGUGUUUCAACCAUGUAGUGGGUGGCGGCGCGGUCGUCGGGCUAGUUGGGGAGAGAAGAGAGUGUGCGACCGUGGGUAUUGAGAUUAACGGUCGGGAUUAAACGAUGAUAUAGCGGUUCAAGCCAAUGCAAG